CACUCCUGCGGGAGGCAGCAGUGGGGAAUAUUGGACAAUGGGCGCAAGCCUGAUCCAGCCAUGCCGCGUGAGUGAUGAAGGCCCUAGGGUUGUAAAGCUCUUUCACCGGUGAAGAUAAUGACGGUAACCGGAGAAGAAGCCCCGGCUAACUUCGUGCCAGCAGCCGCGGUAAUACGAAGGGGGCUAGCGUUGUUCGGAUUUACUGGGCGUAAAGCGCACGUAGGCGGACUAUUAAGUCAGGGGUGAAAUCCCGGGGCUCAACCCCGGAACUGCCUUUGAUACUGGUAGUCUUGAGUUCGAGAGAGGUGAGUGGAAUUCCGAGUGUAGGGGUGAAAUUCGUAGAUAUUCGGAGGAACACCAGUGGCGAAGGCGGCUCACUGGCUCGAUACUGACGCUGAGGUGCGAAAGCGUGGGGAGCAAACAGGAUUAGAAACCCUGGUAGUCCC
rnacentral:rRNA from 1 species